ensembl:snoRNA Snora28 small nucleolar RNA, H/ACA box 28
AAGCAACACUCUGUGGCAGAUGAACAAAACCGUCUGACACAAUUUGAGCUUGCUAUAGCAAGAAAGUCUAACCUAUUCCGGUGUUCUCUUUCCCCAUGAGACAAGCCGUUAUAUAGGCUCUAACAAA